rnacentral:lncRNA from 1 species
GUCAUGUUCAGAGUGAAGCGGCUAUUUCAAGAUCAUAUAGAAUACUUAAGGAGGAGAUCAGGGAUAUUUAGAUUCAGAGUGUGUACCUCUAGCUUCAGCAAUUUUCGCCUCUUCAUCUCAUUAUUCCAUCAAGGUCAGAACCUUACUUUAGAGUUUAGAUCCUUUGUGCUUUUUUUUUUUUUUUUUUCUUAUUCCAUGUUUUAAAUUUGUUAUAAAACCAGCUGGAAGUGGUUUUGAUUCAGGUUUGAUUUCCAGUGGAACAUGAAGCGUAUGAUACAAAGAAUAUACAAUGGCACUGAACUGUAUUGCACCCAGAACUCGCUGCUUACAGAGACUGAGAUAUUGUCCCGUCUCCCCCUGCUUUUGCACUAAGUGUUUACAGCUACUGUGGUUAUGGUAAGAAUUCUGCCUUUUCUGCCUUAUUUUAUCAUAUAUAAGAUUUCAAUUCCUUUCUUUUGCAAAUCUAAGCAUAUUUAACAAGUUUCUAACUGUUACCAGGUACCUAAUAGGUAUCUACUUGAUACUAAAAUGUGCAUCUAAAACAGAAAUGUAAAUGCAUCAAUCCAUCAAAUGAAAAGCUUAGUUCCACGCUUAAGCUAUAGCUUCCAGUCUUCCACUUUUUUUUUUUUUUUUUGGUUUGUUGCACAGGAAGUGUUUUAUUCACCACUGCAAGUUGACCAUGUGCACUUGGUUUUACAUUAGCUUAAAGUGCAAAAGGUUUGCAAACAUUCAGCAAGAUGUUAAUAACUGUUAGAUACUUCUCCAUACUUCAUUUGAGUUUUGAGCUUAAUAUGUAAAGGAGGAUGGAGAGGUUACGAUGUAUUUGAGGAGUUCAUCAAUACAGGUCUAGGGUCUGCCUAACCCAUAAUUCUUCGAGGAAAAAACCCCAUAAUUUACUUGUUUGAAAAGCACUACAGUGUGUUUGUGAUCACCUAGAUAAAAAAUUGGCACAACUGCUGUUGCGUUCGUUGUAUUGUUCUUAUUUGAUAGAUUAUAUCAUGUUUACUAAUGGUGAGUUCCUAUUGCUUGUGUAGUUGGCAGCAAUGAAGGCAUAGCUUAAGAUGCAAAUGGAAAUGUGUUCUGGCAUACACGGGCACUUGGGGGCUUUGAUACGCUCAUUUUUCAAGGGCUUCAUACUUAGCAUCUGCUUCCUUGUGAUCAGUCCAAAAUUUCAAUUUCAAAUGCAAAGAAAGCACCAUCAUAGGCUUUGCACAUGAACUACAAUUUAGAAAGCUUCUGGUUUUAGUUCUCGUAUAUGUGGAAGCAAAGCAGCUAACAAUUACAUAGCAUCUCUAAGUGUAACAGAUGUUGAGCUUGUAGUUACUUUGACUUUCCUCUAUGCCUUGAGCUCCUUACAUUGUAGAAAGCAGAAACUACUCAAAAUAAUUUUAUGUAAAACACUGAGUUAGCAAUCAGUAUUUCAGUGAAGAGACCAUCAUAUGCUCAUCAUUUGACUUGAUUUGAAUUUUAUUUAUUUAUUCAAAAACCAUUUGUGG